rnacentral:rRNA from 1 species
ACUACGGGAGGCUGCAGUGGGGAAUAUUGCACAAUGGGGGAAACCCUGAUGCAGCAACGCCGCGUGAGUGAAGAAGGUUUUCGGAUUGGAAAGCUCUGUUAGCAGGGAAGAGGAAGGACGGUACCUGCAGAGGAAGCCACGGCUAACUACGUGCCAGCAGCCGCGGUAAUACGGCGGUGGCAAGCGUGGUUCUGAAUAACUGGGCGUAAAGGAUGCGUAGGCGGUUAAACACGUGAUAUGUUAAAUAUAUAGGCUUAACCUGUAGAAAGCAUCUAAAACUGUUUAACUAGAGUGCAGGAGAGGUAAGUUGAAUUCCUAGUGUAGCGGUGACAUGCGUAGAGAUUAGGAAGAACACCAGUGGC